GCCGCCGUAGCUCAGCCAGGUAGAGCGUCGCCUUGGUAAGGCGAAAGUCCCGGGUUCAAAUCCCGGCGGCGGCU
rfam:Vulcanisaeta sp. JCHS_4 scf1118686606989, whole genome shotgun sequence.